rnacentral:misc_RNA from 1 species
GAUGAAGAACGCAGCGAAGUGCGAUAAGUAAUGUGAAUUGCAGAAUUCCGUGAAUCAUCGAAUCUUUGAACGCAAAUUGCACUCUCUGGUAUCCCGGGGAGUAUGCCUGUUUGAGGGUCAAUGUUAAUAAAAUCGGUGCGUCGCACUUUCUUGUGACGUUCCGGAGUUUGAGUUAUCUUAACUUUUUAGGUUAAGAGGCUUAAAAUUGACCACCUUUUUGUGCAUUUUUAGACGUACAUAAAUUUUCUUUUAUUUGUCUAUUAAUGCCAAAAUAUAUUAGAUGCGACCAUAUCGUGUGGUUCCGUGUCUAUAAAAUUUUCAUGAUUUGACCUCAAAUCAGGUAGGAGUACCCGCUGAACUUAAGCAUAUCAAUAAGCGGAGGA